rnacentral:rRNA from 1 species
UACGUAGGGGGCAAGCGUUGUUCGGAAUUACUGGGCGUAAAGGGCGCGUAGGCGGCCGCCUAAGUCAGACGUGAAAUCCCUCGGCUCAACCGGGGAACUGCGUCUGAUACUGGGCGGCUUGAAUUCGGGAGAGGAAUGCGGAAUUCCAGGUGUAGCGGUGAAAUGCGUAGAUAUCUGGAGGAACACCGGUGGCGAAGGCGGCAUUCUGGACCGACAUUGACGCUGAGGCGCGAAAGCUAGGGGAGCGAACAGG